CCCUGGAGCCUGUUAGGCCUUGUUGUUUUAGAGACCUCAGAAAGGUGAAGCCUGGAUUUCAAACAAUAAUGGCACAUAUGGCAUGGAAGAACAAUAUCUCCUUCAAUUUGGGAAAAAGGAAAACUCAGCUUUCCUGCAGAGAAUCUCAGCCUGUGGUAGUGGGAGAUUCUGCCAACAGAAGGAAGUUUUCUCCUUCAGUUUUAUGAAAUGUGCUUCUAGAGUAAAAAGUCUUGGAAAUACUAGACUUGAGCAGCUCUGCACUUGGACUGUAUCUGCCUAUGGAGAGUCUGCAAAUAUUUCACUGUUUGCCAACAGUUUCCAUUCUUUGUCAGAUUUUGGUAAGAAUAGAGCCCCUUCUCACAGCUAUUGCUGCCUUCUGAAGGCUAGGUUAUACUGCAGGUGUUGCAGCACCUUCUCAUCAUAGGUGCUGCAACAAGAAUGCAGUGGUAAGGAAGAAGAGCCCAAUCAUAAAGGAGGCCGUAACUUGAUACAAGAUGGAAAGGUUAGGAACAAAGACUGUAUGUGACUGAAUGUCCAGCCAAAGAUGUUGAUGGGUGCAGGACACUCAUGCAUGGAGGCCUGGAAGAACACACAACUGUUUCACGAAGUUCUGUCAAUUACCUUCUUAAGAUUCAGGCAGUAAGAUGCCACUGCAGGGGUGUACUAUCCUAAACUCUAACAAGAACUACAGCUUGGGCAUCUGUACCUCCAACAGCAUGAACUUGAGAUGACUUUGUAGAGUGGAUGCUGAAGAUGACGCAGACCUCAGUGGACCAGACUGUUAAUCUGGACUGGGGUGCACUCAUUGGAGGAUACUAAGCCACAGGGACUGAACUAUCAUCCACAUAAAAAAUUCCUGUUAAGGAACUACAGCAUUCGAUAGGUUAAUCAAACAAACAAACAAACAAAAAAAUAAAAUAACCAGUGCAAUAAGAUGUUAAGCAAUGUUGUCAUUACUAUAAUACCUGCUGAGAGGACAUAAAAAUAAUUUAAUUUAAUCCUUAGGGUUUUCAGGGAGUAGUGUAAAUACAUAUGGAUCUUCAGAUGUGUAUAAUGAAUGACAAGGCAUUAAAAGCACUCUGAUCCAAUUUUGUCUAAUUUCAAAAAUCACAGUCAUGUUUUGUUUUUUCUUCACAGUAUUUAGUUAUCAGAGCCAACACACAUGAAAACUCUGUGAAAUCCUCAGGAUGAAAACUUCUUUAUAUCUCAUCCUAGAGAGUAUUUUAGAUGUUUUGGUUUUAGAAUAAGGAAUGGUGACUGCUUAUGCAGCUUGUAAUGCUACAGAUUUAUUGGCAAAGGUUUCAAUUUACCUGAUUGAAAAGAUCUGUAUUUUUAUAGAAAUGUUUCAAAGUUGAAAUGAUAAGUAUAAUUUUCAGUGAAACAGCCCCAAAAUUUGUUAUUCUAAAUUCUUAAAUUAUAAUUAUUUAUGUACUGUGUGUUAUCAGUACCAAAC
ensembl:lncRNA